GAUGAACGCUGGCGGCGUGCCUAAUACAUGCAAGUCGAGCGAACGGACGAGAAGCUUGCUUCUCCGAUGUUAGCGGCGGACGGGUGAGUAACACGUGGAUAACCUACCUAUAAGACUGGGAUAACUUCGGGAAACCGGAGCUAAUACCGGAUGAUAUUUUGAACCGCAUGGUUCAAAAGUGAAAGACGGUCUUGCUGUCACUUAUAGAUGGAUCCGCGCUGCAUUAGCUAGUUGGUAAGGUAACGGCUUACCAAGGCAACGAUGCAUAGCCGACCUGAGAGGGUGAUCGGCCACACUGGAACUGAGACACGGUCCAGACUCCUACGGGAGGCAGCAGUAGGGAAUCUUCCGCAAAGGGCGAAAGCCUGACGGAGCAACGCCGCGUGAGUGAUGAAGGUCUUCGGAUCGUAAAACUCUGUUAUUAGGGAAGAACAUAUGUGUAAGUAACUGUGCACAUCUUGACGGUACCUAAUCAGAAAGCCACGGCUAACUACGUG
rnacentral:rRNA from 1 species